rnacentral:rRNA from 1 species
GAUGAACGCUGGCGGCGUGCUUAACACAUGCAAGUCGAGCGAGAAUUAAGAGUUGGAGACUUCGGUCAAAGACUUUUAAGGAAAGCGGCGGACGGGUGAGUAACGCGUGGGUAACCUGCCUUAUACAGGGGGAUAACAUAUUGAAAAGUAUGCUAAUACCGCAUAAGCGCACGGCAUCGCAUGAUGCAGUGUGAAAAACUCAGGUGGUAUAAGAUGGACCCGCGUCUGAUUAGCUAGUAGGUGAGGUAACGGCUCACCUAGGCGACGAUCAGUAGCCGGCCUGAGAGGGCGAACGGCCACAUUGGGACUGAGACACGGCCCAAACUCCUACGGGAGGCAGCAGUGGGGAAUAUUGCACAAUGGGGGAAACCCUGAUGCAGCGACGCCGCGUGAAGGAUGAAGGUUUUCGGAUCGUAAACUUCUAUCAGCAGGGACGAUAAUGACGGUACCUGACUAAGAAGCCCCGGCUAACUACGUGCCAGCAGCCGCGGUAAA